UUCUAAGUACUCCUAUGAGGGAUUUUUCUUGACCAGGUUAUUUGAAGUGGGAAGAUCCACCCUAAACACGGGCUUCACCUUCUGGUGGCAGCCCAGAUGAAUGGACUUGGAAGAAGAAGGCUUUGCUUUCUGGUUGUUUGCCCUAACUCUGUUGGCAAGUUCCUCUAACUUGUGACUUGCGGCUACCAUUUCUGCAUUUCUUCAUCACUAUUAGAACCAGCUUCUUCUGCCUGCCAACACAGACUGAAGCUAGCAGCUCCCAGAACAGAUGGGAACUGCUGAAACAUUCAGCCUCCUGGUAAACAACUACUAAGGUCCUGCCUUGGUUUCCUGCCUUGACUUCCUUCAAUGAUGGACUGUGAUUUUGAAAAUUUACAGAUACAUCUGGUAAAGUUAUGGCUUCUAUGGAUAGUGAUUCCUUUCAAGGAUUUGGUUAAAGUAUAUUUAAACUUUUUUUGGAAAGGACUUACCAAUCUUAACACCAGGAAUCAAAGAGGAGAAGGUUAUAUGAAGACAACAAUGGAUUGGAUUGAUCCAUCUGAAGGUCAAGGAUGUUUAGCAAUUCCAGAAUCUCACUAGAGUCUUUGGAGGAAGCACAUCCCUUUAGAACCUUUUUUUAGAUUUACGGACUUUAGAAGAGAAGGAAGCAAACCUCUGUUAUUUGAAGUCAUUCAGUUUUCUGCAUCCUGGCAUACUUAUCCACAUUCUUAGGCAUCCACAUAGUGAAAAUAAAAGUCUAUCUGAACACAGAGACUUGUACAUACCUAGACAUAACAGUUGUAUUUGUAUAGCCACAAACUGGAAUUUGCAAAUUUUUAUCAAUAAGUGUAUGGAUAAAAAUCUUUGACUACAAACUUACUGGACAGCCACUAAGAAUACUACAUGAGUGAAUCAUGAAGAUAUGAAACAGCAACAAAUUUUAACAAUAUUAUGUUGAGUGAAAAUAAACAGAAAUUUAAAGGGGAAUAGUGUUUUACAAAAAAAAACCCAUUUAUAUGAAACACUGUAAAGUUCAAAAUAAUCUCUUAAAACAUAAAGCAGAUCAGCAUUUCCCUGGGAGAGGAUGAAGAGGGAUAAGAGAAAGAAGAAAAAGGAUGUGGAGAAACUGUUUUGGAUGAUGGGGAAAGGUCAUUAUCUUGAUUUGUGGUGAUGAUUUAUGGUUGUACACAUGUGUCAAAGCUCAUUAAAUCAUACACAUUACAAUGUGCUGCUGAUUGUAUGUCAACUAUACUUCAAUAAAGCUGAAAAAAUUAAUUUACUGGGACGAGUGCCAUGAGAAAGGAGCCCUGAAAAAGUUUGUGAAUGCAGUGAGAUGGAACUUAUCCAGGCUCAUGCUGAGAGGCAUAAAAAUGAGACUGAGGAAGACAUCAUGCAUUAACACUGAAGGAGGAUAAACUUGUCUACAAAAGUGGAAUUUAUGAUUUGGGAGAAUAUCUUAGCAUGAGGAAGUCAAAUGUAUGAAUUCAAAGAGGCAGAGGACUUGGAAUAACUUUCACAAGCUGAAUUAUUUCUUGAAGUUUAAAGGAAGCAGGUAAAGAGAGGUGGAGAGUUAGAGUCUGAGAAGCAGGAAGCAUGGGCAAGACUCAGAUUUCAUUUUAAUGAGUUAAUUUUCUCUGGAGAGUUGUAGGAAUUUUUGGAGUGCUUUGUUGUGAGAAGUUACCUACGCUACUGUUUUAAGACAACUGUAAAUG